rnacentral:tRNA from 1 species
GACUCUGUAGCUCAACUGGUAGAGCCAUUGACCAUCGUUAAUAGACGACAGUUCGAGUCUGUCCGGAGUCA